AACGCACCUUGCGCCCCUUGGCUAUUCCGAGGGGCAUGCCUGUUUGAGUAUCAUGAACACCUCAACUCUCAUGGUUUGCCAUGAUGAGAUUGGACUCUGGAGGUUUUGCUGGCCUGUGGUCGGCUCCUCUCAAAUGAAUCAGCUUGCCAGUAUCUGGUGGCAUCAUGGGUGUGAUAACUAUCUACGCUCAUGGCCGUCUGCCGGGGUAACCUUCAGCGAUGGAGGUUUGCUGGGGCUCACAAAAGUCUCUCUUUUGCAGGGACAGCUUUUUGACGUUCGAUCUCAAAUCAGGUAGGGCUACCCGCUGAACUUA
rnacentral:rRNA from 1 species